rnacentral:rRNA from 1 species
UACGGGGGGGGUAAGCGUUGUUCGGAAUUACUGGGCGUAAAGGGCUCGUAGGCGGCCAACUAAGUCAUACGUGAAAUCCCUCAGCUUAACUGGGGAACUGCGUGUGAUACUGGAUGGCUUGGAUUUGGGAGAGGGAUGCGGAAUUCCAGGUGUAGCGGUGAAAUGCGUAGAUAUCUGGAGGAACACCGGUGGCGGAGGCGGCAUCCUGGACCGAGAUUGACGCUGAGGCGCGAAAGCCAGGGGAGCAAACGGG